CAUUAACAACUAUAGGUCACCGUACGGCCUUCAACAAUGAGCAAAGCCCAUACCGCUUAGUCAGCUAUAAAAGGCCCGAUAAGACAAUGUAAAAAAAUUCAAACGAGAAAACUAACGGCCUUAUUUAUAUAAAAAAAAUUGAACGAAAAACAAAUAUGUAACACAUAAACAAACGACAACAACUGAAUUACAGGCUCCUGACUUCGGACAAGCACAUACAUAAAUAAUGUGGCGAGG
rnacentral:lncRNA from 1 species